rnacentral:rRNA from 1 species
AUUGAACGCUGGCGGCAUGCCUUACGCAUGCAAGUCGAACGGUAACAGGUCUUCGGAUGCUGACGAGUGACGAACGGGUGAGUAAUACAUCGGAACGUGCCUAGUAGUGGGGGAUAACUACUCGAAAGAGUGGCUAAUACCGCAUGAGAUCUACGGAUGAAAGCAGGGGAUCGCAAGACCUUGUGCUACUAGAGCGGCCGAUGGCAGAUUAGGUAGUUGGUGGGAUAAAAGCUUACCAAGCCGACGAUCUGUAGCUGGUCUGAGAGGACGAUCAGCCACACUGGGACUGAGACACGGCCCAGACUCCCACGGGAGGCAGCAGUGGGGAAUUUUGGACAAUGGGCGCAAGCCUGAUCCAGCAAUGCCGCGUGCAGGAUGAAGGCCUUCGGGUUGUAAACUGCCUUUGUACGGAACGAAAAGCCCCGGGUUAAUACCCUGGGGUCAUGACGGUACCGUAAGAAUAAGCACCGGCUAACUACGUGCCAGCCGCCGCAGUAA